UCCAGACGCACCAGCCUCCUUUAGGAUUCUUCCUCCAGCUUCCAUCAUGGUCAGCGUAAACCCCACUUACCUGAUGACCACUCCCCUGGGCCCGUGUUUACAUUGUGCUUGCCUUUACCCACCGGAACCGGAAGCUACCCUGCUGGACCUCCUACCGACCUGCCUUUGGCGCUAGGUCUCCCAAGAAACUGACCUGGCCGACCCGGGGCGUCGGAACCACGCCGAGAGACUGGCAGGGAAGAGGCGACUCUCAGAGUCCUUGUGGUUGCCAAUCCCUUUCUCGGGACCACAAAUCCCAGAGGUCACUGCGGCCGUUCCCACCCCACCACCCUCUGGGAUUUGUAGUUUGAGCCACCCGCGCCCCGAGCGCCCUCUAGUAGCAGCCGGGAGCGUCUGGCGCACAGGCGACCGCAGUGCGCGGGAGCGCGGGAAACUAGGGCUGUGCGCGUUGAGGGGAGCGCAGAGAGAGGCAACCCCAGCCAGACUGCGUGCCCGUUCAGUAAGCCGAUGGAACAGUCGAGGCUGAGGGUCCCAUUACGAUAGGACCCUCCCUUAAAGGACUUUACAGCCUAAGAGACCGGCCAGACACAAAGGACAGAAGCAAAAAUCCACGGCAAAGGAGUCCAGGGGAGCAGGUCGGGGAGAGAGGCCCCUGGUUCAAACGUAGGCUUCACGUUGGAAAAAACAGGGAGGCUCUCCUGUGCGGGGUAGGAUGUUCAGCGGCAUCCCUGGAAUCUACCCACUCGAUUCCAUACACUCCCACCACCUCUACCACCUCUUGUGACGACCAGAAUUGUCUCCAGUCACUGCCAGAGGUCCCUGGAAGGAAAAGCGUUCCCCCACCCCUGCCCCGUUGAGAACCGCUGUUGUGGAACAGUGAUGCUCCGAGGUCAUGAUGUCAGAGUCCUGGGAUCGAGCCCCACAUCCGGCUCUGCUCAGCGGGGAGCCUGCUUCCCCCACCCGCUGCCUGCUGCUCUGCCUACUUGUGAUCUCUCUCUCUCUCUCUCUCUGUGUCAAAUAAAUAAAAUCUUUUAAAAUAUA